UGCCCGCGCUCAUGCCGUCCUUCACACGGAUGACCUCACUGCAGCCUUGCAGUAAUAGCUUCUGUGUGCAUCAUUAUUCAUAGCUUAAAAAGCCAGCUGAAGGAAACCCAGUGAUGUGUCAAAGGUCAGAGUGGGGUGGCAGCACUCCUACUCAGACUGACGUCUUCUGACCCGAGUGCGGUGCUCGGGUCUCUGGCUGCGGGGGCUGCGCCGCGGCUGGCCUCGGACUCAGCGCAGCACGGGGCGCAAAGGCCCGGGCGCUUCCCGCCGCUGCUCAGCUGCCUCCUGUCCAGGAAAAUGCUUUUGGGGACUGAGGAAGACGGUCACAGAGAAAUGUGUAGUUGGCGUCGAUUUCCGACGGUUGGGCAAUGGCUUCCGCCAUCUGGCCCAGGUGACGUCAGCCGUCUGGAUUCCCGCCCGUGUUCUGCGGCCCAGGAACCAGGCUCCCGCCUGGCUGGGCUCCAGGCCGUCUCCGGCCUCCCGGAGGAGCAGGUCUUAAUUUGCAACGUGAGGAACUGAAAAUCAGAUCUCAGGAAGAUUUUGAUACAGAAAAUCCGGUAAAAAUGGGGAAGAAGAGUUCGGGGGACACUGGAUAAAGGCGACAGGGGGCCCCUCCAUCUGGGGUGUGGAGCCUUUCCUGGGACAGGAGGGGGGCAUCCGCUGGUCAGGCUGGGAGGCUGAAGACUUUGUGACUAACAGACACGAGUACACUGGGGGCGGACGAGGAGAAAGGUGAUCUUGCAGGUAUGUUUCAUCAGUCCUAUUGUGCAGAGCUGGAUGCUGAAACUCGCCCACAGUCAAACAAGGAUUUGAGCGCAGAGCUUUCCUAACUCCUUCCAGUCCUCUGAGCCAAGGGAACAGUGGGCAGAAAUGUCAGAGACCACUUAUUCCCAGCUCUGUGACCUUGUCCUACAGGGCACAGCAGGAAAGCCACCGUCUCCAGGCAAUCCCCACACAGUGAGGGGUGGAGCAGGGAUGUGGUCAUUUGUUCCAGCAGCACCCCGAUUUUGUCUGUGACGUCAACGUGCCUCCUUGAAAGCCCUCGCUCCCCAGACUUCUCCGAGCCUCGAAGUGGCCACACGACCGUUGGGCAAAAGUCCUUACGAAGCCAACCCAGACGGAGACGUUCCCUUGUGCAGAGUCCACGGCACUUAGCUGCUAUAGCCUUGGCAACGGUCGGCAAACUGGCACGUCUUGCAUUGGACUGACUCCUUUCCCCGCCCUUUGGGCUCCUGAAGUCAAGAACUGUCCUGUACUUAGUGGCACAUUGAACUUGCUUGAUAAUUAUUCCUUGAACUCAACCGGAAAGUCCAAUUUGGAGAGGACAGAUAUACACCAAACAUGAUACAUUUAAAUAAAGUGGAGAAUAUUUUCCUUGAGAAAUGCCUUCUUUGCAAGCCUUUGCCACGUUGGUAUAGGACUGGGAAGAAAAGGUGUGGC